ACUUUCUUAGUAUAGUUAGUACAACUGACUUCCAAUCAGUUAGCUCUGAACCCACCCCAGAAGAAAGUA
rnacentral:tRNA from 1 species